GGAGGGAUGUAGGAGUGGAGAAUAGGGUGGAAUAUCUGGAAAUUAGAGCUUGUAAUGUGGGUUCUGGUGAAGAAGGAAGUGUAGUUUCUGUAGUAGAGGGGUUGGAAGAAGAGGGUACUGGAAUUGGGUGUGACUCCAAGGUGAGUUGAAAAAGUGCUUCAACCCGAUCUGUGUUGUGCAAGCGGCGGAGUUGGUGGGCUGAGAUGGGUGAAGGGUUUGGGCCAG
rnacentral:lncRNA from 1 species